CUUUGGUUCAACCACACCACUUUUAUCCAGAAUCUGAGCCAGAGGGAGAGGCACCUGAAGAAGUUCAAACUCUACAACUGCAGCAGGACGUUUCUGAAUGGUGCUCCUGUGGAAACUGUGCAACCAUGCCCACAGAAGCUGAAAAUAUCUGCUGCUAGGAGAUACCACAGGUUACCAGACGGCUGUGGGAGAUCGAGGAAGAUUUACCAUGUAUGGUAGACUGUCCUGGGUUGGAGCCGCUCUGCCUCUAUGUGUACUCCCUCCA